CUAAUACUCCCUCCGUUCCGAAUUACUUGUCGCAGAAAUGGAUGUAUCUAGAACUAAAAAGUGUCUAGAUACAUCCAUUUCUACGACAAGUAAUUCCGAACGGAGGGAGUACAAA
rfam:Triticum aestivum genome assembly, contig: Triticum_aestivum_CS42_TGACv1_scaffold_049635_1BS